UCACUUACCUCUUCUCUUUUAGAGGAUGAGGCUUUGAAGGCAAUAUUCGAAUUACUUCUAAGAUAAGGAUUAAGAAUUGUGCUUUCAUAAGCUUUAGGGUUACCUCGUAGUCCAUCAAUUGUGACGUCUGUGAUUCCUAUCGACUCUUGGAUAUCAUUUGCUUUGGAACGCCAUUCGGGAGUGAGACUCCGUAGGAUUUUUCGAACUAGAUCUUUGUUCGAGUAUACUUUUACGAGAGCAUGAAGAUCGUUGACGAUCAUUGAGAAUCCUUCGAACAUACUAUCGAUGUUUUCAUCUUCCCUCAUUCUAAAAAGUUCAUAUUCAUGUGUUAGNNN
rnacentral:lncRNA from 1 species